rnacentral:piRNA from 1 species
UGACCAUAUGUGAUCUUCAGGUUAGCCU